AUUUUCUUUUUAUUUAGGUCUCUUGAUUUUGUUUCUGGGUUUUUGAUUCUGUUAUAUGCUUUAGAUAUAUGAGUUUGGUGUUGAUCGCUUCUCAUUUUUGAUUAUGCAAAUUCGUAAAUUCCUCCCGUUGUUGCUAAAUUUUAAAUUUAUCUGGGUUUUGAUUUAGAACUAUGUGUUUGGUGAUGACUUGCAAAUGAAGUUGUAGAGAUAUAUUAAUGUAUAGUUAUUGCUAAAUUUGGAGUUUUUUAAAAUUGACGUCAUAUUUGUUUUUCAAUUUUGUUAAUUUGAUUUAUGCGUUAACAUUCAAAGUAGUGGAUCUGAUUGUUCAUAGAGUAGAAGACUAUAAAAAUCUUACCAGUUUAACAAAGAGUUACUUCGCUGCCUUAACCGAUCGCAUGUUGCUUUUGUUAUUUCAUUUUUUGAGUCCUUUGAAAAUAUUGGAAGUGUAAGCAGUAAAAGUUAAAUAACAUUUUAAGUAUCAAUUUCAGUUAUUGUUAGUGUGUAUAUCGUAUUGUUUUCUUAUGCAGGAGGUUUACAUACCACUGCCCAAAGAAUUAGACCAUAUGUCUGUUUAAGUUUACCAGCUUCUUAGAUGUUUUGGUAUGAUAAAUGGUCUUCAUUUUUGGGAAGCACAAGAUCUCAAGGGGAAAUAACGAGGAGUGGAAAGUUACAUUAAAAUGAUAUGGAUUUCUAAUUUAUAUCUCACUCAUUGAGAUAAAAGAGUUUCAUUGUACGCCCGAAAAACCUAAGUUGAAGUUCAAGCUUAUUAUUAUUGUUGAUCAGAUUUUGUACAAAAGUUACGUUAAAGCCAGCAGGGAUCAUUGUAGAAUGGAUCUAUGAUUUAUCUUGUUGUAGAUUUGAACAAAUUUAUGGCGAUUUGAAUUAUUUUUUUCAAUUACCGUUUUAAUUUCUAUUUUUUUU
rnacentral:sRNA from 1 species